AGCGAACGCUGGCGGCAGGCCUAACACAUGCAAGUCGAACGAACUCUUCGGAGUUAGUGGCGGACGGGUGAGUAACACGUGGGAACGUGCCUUUUGGUUCGGAAUAACUCAGGGAAACUUGUGCUAAUACCGAAUGUGCCCUUCGGGGGAAAGAUUUAUCGCCAUUAGAGCGGCCCGCGUCUGAUUAGCUAGUUGGUGAGGUAACGGCUCACCAAGGCGACGAUCAGUAGCUGGUCUGAGAGGAUGACCAGCCACACUGGGACUGAGACACGGCCCAGACUCCUACGGGAGGCAGCAGUAGGGAAUCUUCGGCAAUGGACGGAAGUCUGACCGAGCAACGCCGCGUGAGUGAAGAAGGUUUUCGGAUCGUAAAGCUCUGUUGUAAGAGAAGAACGAGUGUGAGAGUGGAAAGUUCACACUGUGACGGUAUCUUACCAGAAAGGGACGGCUAACUACGUG
rnacentral:rRNA from 1 species